rnacentral:rRNA from 1 species
UACGUAGGGGGCAAGCGUUGUCCGGAAUCAUUGGGCGUAAAGAGCGCGUAGGCGGCCCUGUAAGUCCGCUGUGAAAGUCAAGGGCUCAACCCUUGAAUGCCGGUGGAUACUGCAGGGCUAGAGUCCGGAAGAGGCGAGUGGAAUUCCUGGUGUAGCGGUGAAAUGCGCAGAUAUCGGGAAGAACACCAGUGGCGAAGGCGGCUACCUGGACCAACACUGACACUGAGGCACGAAAGCGUGGGGAGCAAACAGG